rnacentral:rRNA from 1 species
UACGUAGGGGGCAAGCGUUAUCCGGAUUUACUGGGUGUAAAGGGAGCGUAGACGGCAGGGCAAGUCUGGAGUGAAAGGCAGGGGCCCAACCCCUGGACUGCUCUGGAAACUGUCCGGCUGGAGUGCAGGAGAGGUAAGUGGAAUUCCUAGUGUAGCGGUGAAAUGCGUAGAUAUUAGGAGGAACACCAGUGGCGAAGGCGGCUUACUGGACUGUAACUGACGUUGAGGCUCGAAAGCAUGGGGAGCAAACAGG